rnacentral:rRNA from 1 species
GACGAACGCUGGCGGCGUGCUUAACACAUGCAAGUCGAGCGGUAAGGCCCUUUCGGGGGUACACGAGCGGCGAACGGGUGAGUAACACGUGGGUGACCUGCCCUCAGCUCUGGGAUAAGCCUGGGAAACCGGGUCUAAUACCGGAUAUGACUCCAUGACGCAUGUUGUGGGGUGGAAAGCCUUGUGCGGCUGAGGAUGGGCCCGCGGCCUAUCAGCUUGCUGGUGGGGUGANGGCCUACCAAGGCGACGACGGGUAGCCGGCCUGAGAGGGCGACCGGCCACACUGGGACUGAGACACGGCCCAGACUCCUACGGGAGGCAGCAGUGGGGAAUCUUGCGCAAUGGGCGAAAGCCUGACGCAGCGACGCCGCGUGAGGGAUGACGGCCU